GGCAGCCACCAUGGGCUCGGGAGUAAAAGUCCCUCACAAUUUCUGACUGUUGGAAGAACUCAGAGAAGGCCAGAAAGGAGUAGGAGAUGGCACAGUUAGCUGAGGUCUAGAAGAUGAUGAAGACAUGACAAAAGAUGGACAGGGAUGAUAAUUGGGCCUCCAAGAACAAUUUAUGAAAACCAAAUAUACAGCCUUAAAAUAGAAUGUGGACCUAAAUACCCACUAGCACCCCCCUUUGUAAGAUUUGUAACAAAAAUUAAUGUAAAUGGAGUUAAUAGUUCUAAUGGAGUAGUGGACCCAAGAGCCAUAUCAGUGCUAGCAAAAUGGCAGAAUUCAUAUAGCAUCAAAGUUGUCCUGCAAGAGCUUCAGUGCCUAUUGAUGUCUAAAGAAAAUAUGAAACUCCCUCAGCCACCGGCAGGACAGUGUUACAGCAAUU
rnacentral:lncRNA from 1 species